rnacentral:rRNA from 1 species
AUUGAUGGCUGGAAUGAAUGAAUAUACGAGAGCUCAACUGUCUCAUUUUUACAAAUAUAAAUUGACCCUCAAGUGAAGAGACUUGAAUCUUUAAAAAAGACGAAAAGACCCUAUAGAGCUUUACCUAAAGUUUAUAUUAUAUAAACUAAAGGUUUAGUUGGGGCAACUAGAGAGCACCUAAAACCUCUCUUUAAACCUACUAAUAAUGAUCCGUUUUUACGAUAAGUAGAAAAAGCUACCUUAGGGAUAACAGGCUAAUCCUCUUUAAGAGACCAUAUUGACAAGAGGGAUUGGCACCUCGAU